UUAAAAAAAAUUUAAGUGGAUUAUUUCACUUAAACCAUUCUUUCAACACUUAUUUGCACACGCCCGAAAUGCCAGCAAGUUCUAGGUGCUGUGAGAUGGCGGUGGACAAGAGACAAAGUCCCAUGGAGAAAAAAGGGCGAUUUAUACACGCAGCGCAAUAUUAUUCAGCCUUAAAGAAGAAGGAAACCCUGUCACGUGCCGCCACGUGGAUGGAUGCUGGGGACAGACGCCAAGCGAAAUAAUCCAGGCACAAACAGACGAACACUGUAUGAUCCCACUCACAUGAGAGAGACCAAGUGCCUGCUCUCGAGGGGUCCAUGUUCUAGAGGAGACGUCUCUAGUCCAGCGGCUGCACCGGACUUGGGGUUCAGAGUGAUGAUCUCAUGCUCUGUACGGCCCUCCUUGCUGAGGCUCCCGCACGGAUGAGUGAAGUACGCGCCCAUGUUCACCUUGGGCGCCGGCCGGGGGUACACGCUGACACCCUGAGGGGUCCUUGAACUAUCACACAGCCAUGCUGCAGUUUGCUUCUCCGAUGCCGCUGGGCACAGAGCUACCAGCCCCAGGGAUUCUGCCCACUUCCUCCGUCCCCUGGGGGCACAUCAGCCCAGGAUGUCUUCCUGAUGGCUCCCGGGGCCACAAGAGGUGGGUUCGGUUCAGAGCGGACAGGUGGCCACUUGAAAUGUAGCCAUUCCUGUGCUGACGGGCCCCUGCCAUCCUUCCAGAAGCCGUCUUCCCGUUGGGAUGCUGCCCAACCCCUCUUCAUAGUUGUCCCUCCUAUCACCCGGGGAAAUUCCACUUUUAUUGCUUGCAGGGCUCUUGAUUUUUAAAGCUGAGCCUUGAACACUGCUUUGGCUAGAUCUCUUUUAUCUGAGUGAUGCCUUCUGAGGGAAGAAGCAGGAG